AACGAACGCUGGCGGCAUGCCUAACACAUGCAAGUCGAACGAGACCUUCGGGUCUAGUGGCGCACGGGUGCGUAACGCGUGGGAACCUGCCCUUAGGUUCGGAAUAACUCCCCGAAAGGGGUGCUAAUACCGGAUAAUAUCUUCGGACCAAAGAUUUAUCGCCUUUGGAUGGGCCCGCGUUGGAUUAGCUAGUUGGUAGGGUAAAAGCCUACCAAGGGGACGAUCCAUAGCUGGUCUGAGAGGAUGAUCAGCCACACUGGGACUGAGACACGGCCCAGAAUCCUACGCGAGGCAGCAGUGGGGGAUAUUGGACAAUGGGCGAAAGCCUGAACCAGCAAUGACGCGUGAGUGAUGAAGGCCUUAGGGUUGUAAAGCUCUUUUACCCGGGAUGAUAAUGACAGUACCGGGAGAAUAAGCACCGGCUAACUCCGUG
rnacentral:rRNA from 1 species